rnacentral:lncRNA from 1 species
CCUGUCAUGCGUGGUGUUGAUAAGGUCAUCACACCACAGCCUCAGGACACUCAGGCCCAGGGACGAGGGGACACAGAGCCUUGGAGUGGAGCUGCCCCUGGCUGCCCCCUUUCUACACGGACCAGAAGUAGCUAAGGGUUCUCUUUGGGCCCUGGCAGCGGCCCUUGGCAGGUGGCCAGAGCAGAGCAUCAAGGUGGACUCACUCCUGAGAUGUGGGAGGUACCUCCUGGGACCCCCAGGCAAGGCAUGGGGGUGGGGAGCAGGCCACAGCUGCCACUCUGCCUGUAAGGACCAGGAUGCCUGGGGUUGGAAGAACGUGACUCUGUCCAGAGCCCCGGAGGAGCUUCUGGGUUCUUACUAAUCCAGGAAACAGGGGAGACGUGGAAAAUCACCCAGGAACAGAGGAAGGAGGACUGUCAGCUCCACCGGGUGAAGGACAAGAGCUACAGGGGGCUGGGCACAGCAUGACAGCUGGGCCGAGAGGCCGGGCUGUUGGUGGAGGUUGGGGAGGGAGCUGCCAGCCAUUCAUGGUGCCAGGCAAGGACAGGAGAGGUACACAAAAGUGAGUCAACACCAAUCUGUGAGAGAGGUCAAGCUCUUUUGGCAAUACCUUGAACUCUGCUGGAGGCCAAGUGCAAGGGCAAUUCUUCAAAAUGCCUACUGACCAGCACCAAGCCUCCUUGCCACCACAGCUCCGGUUAUGAGGAUACACCUUAUUUGCACUCAAGAGUUCAAAGGCUUGCCAGAGCCCUGUGUUUGGCUCAUGAUGGUGCAUGCACCCUCUGGGCUUACCAGUCUGCUGUUCUCAGGGUCACUGUCAGGCCUGGGGAACCUCCCCCAAAUCUCCAGAGAAGACCAAAUGGAAAAGAACAAACACCCAGGACCCAAGCCAGACUUGGGGCAUGCUUCAAAAGGUGGAUAUUUUUAUUAAGUCAUUCUUUGGACUGAGAAAACUGUGCUACAUCCAUACACUGGAAUACUACUCAGCAAUGAGAAGGAAUGAACAGUUGACACACCCAGCUCCCUAGAAGAAUGGCAAAAUGACUGGAAUGAAAGAAGCUAAAGAGAACACCGCUGCAUGAUUCCAUUCCAACAAAAGUCUAGGAAAUGCUGAAUCAGAAUAGUGACCCAAGGAGGGUCUGGGAUUGCCCUGCAGAAGAACUGGGGAUGAAGGGAGAGAACAGAGGAGGCUAAGGAACUUUGGGGCUAUGGAUAUGUACACUAUCUUAAUUGCAGGGUUGGUCUCACAGGUGUACCCUAUGUCAAAACUUAUCAAACUGAGCACCUUCAGUGUAUGCAAAUUAUAU